rnacentral:lncRNA from 1 species
UCACAGUUUUGAAUUAAGGUUAGUUCUAUCCAUAAUAAGUGUUGCAGUUUUGAAUUAAGGUUAAACUAACCUUAGUUCAAAACUGCGACAAUUAUUUUGGAUCGAUGGGAGUAGUUAUUAAAAAUAAGAAUUGCCCAACUCUUAACACGUCAGGGAUACAUAUGUUCUAGUACAUUGGUGCUAUAUAUAGCCGGCGACCCGGAGCGUUAACAGCGGCGAAGGAUAGUAAAUUACUAAUUGCGAUGUUGGACUAGUAAUAACAAAAGAAAAGGCCCUGGUGAGGCUUCAUCUACCAUAUAUGUAUAUAUAUUAGGAAGGAGGGUGUUGUAGUCCCCUCCGUCGCCAGCAUACUUGCUUCAUACACUCAG